rnacentral:rRNA from 1 species
CCUACGGGAGGCAGCAGUGGGGAAUAUUGGACAAUGGGGGCAACCCUGAUCCAGCCAUGCCGCGUGUGUGAAGAAGGCCCUCGGGUUGUAAAGCACUUUCAGUGAGGAAGAACGCCUGGUGGUUAAUACCCAUCAGGAAAGACAUCACUCACAGAAGAAGCACCGGCUAACUCCGUGCCAGCAGCCGCGGUAAUACGGAGGGUGCGAGCGUUAAUCGGAAUUACUGGGCGUAAAGCGCGCGUAGGUGGCUUGAUAAGCCGGUUGUGAAAGCCCCGGGCUCAACCUGGGAACGGCAUCCGGAACUGGCAAGCUAGAGUGCAGGAGAGGAAGGUAGAAUUCCCGGUGUAGCGGUGAAAUGCGUAGAGAUCGGGAGGAAUACCAGUGGCGAAGGCGGCCUUCUGGACUGACACUGACACUGAGGUGCGAAAGCGUGGGUAGCAAACAGGAUUAGAUACCCCAGUAGUC